UGAAGUAGGUCCCAAGGGUAUGGCUGUUCGCCAUUUAAAGUGGUACGCGAGCUGGGUUUAGAACGUCGUGAGACAGUUCGGUCCCUAUCUGCCGUGGGCGCUGGAGAACUGAGGGGGGCUGCUCCUAGUACGAGAGGACCGGAGUGGACGCAUCACUGGUGUUCGGGUUGUCAUGCCAAUGGCACUGCCCGGUAGCUAAAUGCGGAAGAGAUAAGUGCUGAAAGCAUCUAAGCACGAAACUUGCCCCGAGAUGAGUUCUCCCUGAGACUUAGAGUCUCCUGAAGGAACGUUGAAGACGACGACGUUGAUAGGCCGGGUGUGUAAGCGCAGCGAUGCGUUGAGCUAACCGGUACUAAUGAACCGUGAGGCUUAACCUUACAACGCCGAAG
rnacentral:rRNA from 1 species